rnacentral:misc_RNA from 1 species
GUGAUUAAAUCCGAGCGUGUCUUCAUUGACCGCUCACCCUUCUCACCAUCCACAUACACCUGUGCACUGUUUAGCCUGAGCCGGUUUUCCGGUCCAGGUUAUCAUUUCAUACAAACUCUAGUCCUAUGAAUGUAAACGUUUUAAUAACAUAAUA